AUCACCACCAUGUUGGAGUUUGAGAAGGAGUGCUGCCCUAAACGGAGUAUACACAGUAUGUGUCCGGGCCUUAAAAGGUGAAGAAUAUUUAGACAGAUGAAGAGCAUUCCAGGUGGAAAGAACCAUAUAAGCAGACACUGGAAAGCAGGGUUUCUUCAAACACCUUUGAUAUACUGCAAGGGCUCUUUCUGAAGGAUGAGGAGGGAGAAGGUGGCCCAGGAGUCCACUGCGAGAUCCGAGGCAAGAGCAGAGCGGGGAUCAGGAGGCUUGAAGCAACCUGAAGGCAGCAGGAAAGAGCUGAUGUCUACUGGAUGCCUGAAGCAACACCUUAAUCUCAAUCUCCCCUGCUGGGAGCAGGUGAGGGAGGCAGCAAGGAAAUCAUGUCCCUUUGGAUCUGCUGCCUAAGGUUCUGGGGGAAGUGAUGGGCACUGAGGUCUCCUGACAGCUGGCAGGCUCCUGGCUGGCCCCACCUUGCCCUGAGCUGGGCAGUGGACCGAGCUUGUUGAAUGGAUUGAAGCAGCAGGAACAAUAAUAACAACAGCUGCAUGUAUCCAGUAUUUACCGCAUGCCAGGCACGUCACAUAGAUUACCUCAUUUAAUCCUUACACCAACCUUUCCAGGGAGGUAUUCUUAGUCCCAUUUUACCUAUUAGAAAACUGAGUGUCAGCUUAAGUAACGCAGGUAAGGUCAUAUCCUUUGUAGGGUAACAGAAACAAAAUUGGUGUCUAAGUUUGUUUAAUUCCCACACAGAUGCAGCGGGGUCCAGACAGACAGAGGCAAGGACUGCAGAGGGAAGGCCCCUUCUCCUGGAGCUGCCCCAAAAGCGGCCACCGGGGCCAUUCUUCUUCCUAGAAAGAACAUCUUUCUGCUUCCUAGUCAAGCUGCUGGACACUGCAGGUCAGGUUCACCCGCCUGACCACUGCAAAUCUCUUAGCUCAUUUUACUCCCCUCUGUUUUCUAACAGUGAUUCAGCUGGGUGAAUCAGGAGCCAGACAGCAAGAGAGGUGAUACCAGAAGGUGAAGAGGGACAUAGAUUGGGAAGGGUGAAAGAUUCCCUAAGGGAUUUUUUUUUAAACGACAGUCUUGUUCUGUCACCCAGGCAGGAGUACAGUGGUGCAAUCACAGCUCAC
rnacentral:lncRNA from 1 species